GUGCUAAGGUAGCAUAAUAAUUUGUCUUAUAAUAGAAGGCUGGUAUGAAUGAGUUGACAGUACUAAAACUUUCUCGAAAAAAUUUUUUGAAAUUGAUCCCCACAUCAAAAAGUGUGGCUCUCUAAAGGGACGAUAAGACCCUAUAAAGCUUUCAAUUAAUACCUUAUUUUACAUAAAGAUACUAAAUUUUAGUAAUUAAUUAAGCUGGGGCGGUAAUUACAAAGCAGUAAUAAUUCUAACAUUUAUUCAUGAAAUUUUAGAUCUUAAUAAAGAUUUAGAACAAGCUACUUUAGGGAUAACAGCAUAAUUUCUUAAAAUAGAUCUCAUAGAUUAAUAAGACUUAUGACCUCGAUGUUGAAUUGGGGGGCUCACUAUAAGCAGGAGUANGGAAGAGGGGUCUGUUCGACCUUUAAUCCCCCACGUGA
rnacentral:rRNA from 1 species